CACCCGUGUUUCAUUUCCUCCUUUGCCACACCUUGCCCUGCUACAAAGUGUACCACUCAGGAAAAUCACGGUAAAGGAUGCCCCGAGCCUCUUCGUGUAGCCUAUUUGCCUCAAAAUAUGCCGUAAGCAUUGACCUAUCGGCACCUGGACGUUGGACAACAUGAUUUACUUUAGCACGCUCGUGAAAUGACACCAUAUGCAUGUUUUCAAGAUGGAGCUGCAGUUGCAUCACUGGUGGAGAGUUUUGACUUAGAUCAAAGCUGAAUAUCCUCCAAAGGGCUUCUGGAGGGGUCACCCACCUAGCAUCUCUAUACUGCUUGAUCUCAUCAACGUCACCAUCAGCCUUGUUUGCGUCUGUCACAGCCACAGACGCACGAUCGUGGCCUUUGUAUAUGUAUUUGAACAAGUAUUUGACAGCCUUGAUGCUCCCGCACGCCUCAACAUUGAUGUGACAGUUGAAGAGCCGGAGGAGGUAAGGGUUGUAAGGGACGACCCAUCUGUUGUCCAAUUCACAACCUCGAACCGUUUCCUUACGCCCAUCAUCACGACGCCUAUAAAUAGGAUAUGAAUCCUUUCCUUGAGACGUUGCAUUGCUAAAAGCUCUAGGAUAAUGGUUUUUGCAUGAAGCACAACCCUUAGUGCAUGGGCAUUUAGGAUUUAGCAACCCGCACGGUCCAUGCAUCAUAUGCUUGAUAACCAUCUUGUAUAGUUCAGGGUACUUCUUCUUGUCAGGGAUCUCAGCGGAGAUAAGGUGAUCAUACUGAUCAGGACAAGUUAGCUUGUACUUUCUCUGCAUGAUGAGUAGGAAAUGGACAUGAGGCAAACCUCGCUUCUGGAACUCCACGACAUAGACAUAAGCUCGGAUUUUUCCAAGAAUAUGAUGCUUAGUCAAUCUCUUCUUCAGUUCCUCUAGUUUUGCAUGGAAUAUGCGAACAACAAGGUCCGGACGAUCCUGUGGUGACUGCAUAGGGAGAAGCUCUCUGGUUAUUUCAUCCCAAUUGGGGUUGCACGUCAUAGUGAGGAAUAUGUCUGGCUUCCCAAACUUCCGCACAAGGGCCAUAUCAUCCAUAUACUGACGUCUCAUGUCACGAGGACCACCGAUAAAUGAUGUAGACAGCACGGUUCGCUUUCCAAUUUUGUCUGCUCUGUUCUCGCCUUCAUGCAAGCUAUCUACCAAACCCUUGUAUAGAUCCGCCCUUAAUCUGUCUUGGUUUUUACGUAUGAAAUCCAAACGAGAGCUCUCAAUCUUGAUGUAGGUGUCAACCGCGAACUGUUGGAAAAGCCGCUUCCCAUGAAGUAUUGGAAUGAAUAUACUUGGACGAAUUUGGAAUCUGUAGCAGUAAUAGUCACGUACAGACACGCAUAGAUGGCUAGGUCGUUCUGCAACCGCAAGGUUUAUUAAUUAGUGUUGCUAAAACAUAUUUAACAAAGGAUUAUAUAAGAAUCACAAAGAAAGAACUAACCUGUAUCAUCAUUGUUUGCAUCACUUCUCCUAUGUUGAUCGCGGUACGCGUCUACUUCGUCCAUGGAAACAUUGGACUUAGGAAUAUUGGCAUGCCAUCCAAGUUCACCUUUAGGGAAGAACAAUGGAUAUGGUAGUGCAUCAUAGCAUCCAUGAUAUGAAUGGAUGUCGUGGCUUGACCUAUCCUUCCCAUGUAGCAUAACACUAUUACUGAAUUGACCUCGACGUUCACUCCCCUCAAUCCAAAUUGCAGCUACCUCCGAAGUAAUGGGUGAAUUAUAUAACUUCUGGUUCAGCGUUUGAUCAAGGUUCAAGGCGAUGUGGUAGUCUUUAAUGUUAUCAACGUGCCCCAUACUCCUAAGGUGCUCAGAGUAUGGAUUUCCCUUAAGUAUUUCAACCAAUUGUUUAAUAACUGCCUUGUCUUUCUCAAAUUGUUGUUGACGACAUUUACGAUAUCUAUGCUCGAGGCUGGGAUCAUCAUCGUAGAAGUAGAGUUCAAGGUGUUUAUGUUCCGCCCCAACUUCCCUACCGAACGACCUUACGUUGUGGUACAUCAUGCCAUGUGCACGAAACGUAUAGAUACCACAAUCCAUGUUUGUAGUCAUACUGUCAAGACAACAGUACAGAGAAGUAAACGAGAAAUGGCCGUUAAAAAAUCGAAUGUUAUCACGAAAGUGCCUCGCAUCAGCAUCUGCAGACUCCCACAGCCUCCUAAGCUGGAGCGGUGUCUCGAAUGCGGCUAAAUUAAUCUGUCCAUUACGACAACAAAAUCCAGGUGGUUCAUACUGAAACUUCUUCGCUUUGCAGUAAUCGUAGUCAGCAACAGUGCUCAGCAAAUGUGUUUCUUCAGGUAUGUUACUAUACACCUUGUCGUACAAGUCAGGUACGUCAGGGUUGACAGUAAAGGCAUCUUGGGUUUCAUCAAUCUCAAUAUCCUCACCAGAUUCACCAUCUAAAUUUGUUUUGAAAGAACAAAGGAUAAGACAUACAACUUUAGAAACUUUUAAAUCAUAUAUCCUAUAUUAAAAACAUUACGUAAGUACCUUGCCCAGCGAAUAGGUAUCCUUCUUCGUCAUCAUCAUCUUCUUUAAAAAGUACAGUCUCAUCAGCAUCCUCUGUAAAGAGCACACCUUAAUCAUAUUAACCACUAAGAAUAAUUAGGGAACUAAUGAUGGAAUGAGCUUGUAAUUACCAUUGAUGGUAAUAGUCGAAGAUGUCAAGUGCUGCUUCCCAACGUCUACUCCUUCGGUCAUUUUGUCACUAUUUGUGGCAGGGACUGUACACGGAUGUCUUUGUCGUCUAGGAGACUUUGUCAGUUUCUUUGUCUCAACAUCCUCAGUCACCGAUGGAGUAGGAACAAAUGGUGUUGGGAUCAAUUCAGGAAUAGCUAUGAGCUCGGAGCUAAAUAGAGACCCAGUAGGUGCUUGAGCAUCUGUUGAACUCCACACAAGCUCCGGGGUAAAAGUAGGGUUCUCAAUGGCGAUUGAGUCCUGACUUAGCAUAACUUGUUGUCUUAUUCUAUAGUUUUCCCUUGCUCUCUUUUGACAUGGUUUCAUAUUACGCAACGUCCUUUGUUCCUUAGUUUGAGUUGCACAUCGAGCUCUUUCUCGGAUUCUCUUAUGUUCCUUUGGAUCUAACACUUUUGAAUACUCAUGGUGUACAACAUUUUCUUUGUUGCGUGACGCACGACGUUUCUUCAAUUCAUUUUUUGUUUCAUCACUCAUCGCCGCGUAUCGUGCUCUUUCCUUUUCCCGUUUACAUUGCCUUGCAUCCGCACAUCCUACUAAACCAUUAUAGGUUUUAUUUUUUAAAACCUUAUUGAAAUGUCAAAUAAGGCAUCUUAUAAUAUUAGUAGAUAUACCUUCAACAGUGAUGUUGGACAGUUCUUUUAAUGGAGAACGAACAUCAUUAGUUUGGAGCGGAUCCAUCUACGUAUUUCAGGCAGCCACAAAACCUAUAUGAGAGGAUGAAUCACCUUAUCAUACUUCACCAAAGGAUAAGAUACGCUCAAUUUCUAAUCUAAUCAGAUAACAUUGAUUCUUAGAGAUAGGGAAAGUACUAACGAGCAAAUUGGUACAUUCAGUUAAAUGGUAGACAAUCAAUGAGAAUCAAAGUCAACAUAUAAGACUAACUCCAACACGGACCUCUAAAGGGUCCUAUACCCUAAAUUUAGAGGAUGAGGUCAUCCUCUACUCCCUCCGACAGCGUCCUUUAAACGGUCUACUAAAUUUACAGGACAAAUUAAAAAUGUCUCUAAUAUAGGUAUUUGUGUAUAAAAGACAUGAUUUAGAGAAUGUUGUUGAAGAGGAAAGAAAUAUAGAGAAUGUAAUCUUUUAGGAUGUCUCCAACAAGGAAAUGCUUAGGAUGGUGGUACAUGUUGUGUAGUUGCGUUAUAAUUACUUCUUUCAUUGUAAGGAAUAUGGAUGUUUUACAUCAACCCGAAAUGUACUCCACAUGCCAUGGAUAUUCGUUUAUGUGCUGCUAAGGAAAUCCUCCUCCAUGAGGAUUUUUUGUUCCUCCAGAAGGAACUUAAGUUUUCAGGAGUGCACUUAUUCAUGUAUCAAGACUAAAUUUUGUUUAUGUUACAAGUUUUCAGUUGUCCUUUCUUCACAUGCCAGCAUGUUAAAUCUGCUGAUUUUGAUUCAUUAAGAUAUUAGGAUGGAUGAAGUCACACAAGCUGUUGAAAAUCUUAAGAAAGAAUGGGGCCAAGCAGUUUCACAGCUUGACGAGAACAUUACUGCAAUUGAAUCAUGUGGAAAAACAGGGAAAGGGACAGAGGAAGCAAAUUAUCUUCCAAGGUUGAAUGGUUCUGCACAGGAUGCUCUGCAGUUGCUGAAGUCACUGCAGUUCCAGCUUGGUCUUCUAGCACAGCAGCUUCCCACUUUUGAUGAGGUGCAGUCUGGUCAAGCAACCUUGAAGUCAUGGGAUGAACAAUACAAGAAGCUUCGUAUUAGCCUGAGGAAUGCUAACUUAUAAGCAAAAGACAACAUUAGACAAGCUGCUGAAGAGGAGGUACGUGAUUAUGCCUGGACUUUGAUGAUAUUAAUCCAAGUGAUGAGUUGUCUGAGUGCUACAUGCUUCUAGGGCUUAUUUGGUUGGCUCCUGGACGGAGCUGCCUGGCCCAGGAAUCCAUCCCAGGCGUCCGAUUUUGGUCGCAUGGGGCUAGGAUGAUUGCCUGGCCGGCGAGCUGCCUGGCAAGGUAGCAACCAAACAGGCCCUAGAGUGUCACCAAUCACCAAUGCAAUGUGAAAGUUUAAGAAUUCAUGUUAAAUUUUAAGCACAUAUUCUUUAUAUAUGCAGUAUGUCUUCUCAGAGGUUUUUUAUGUACUCAUUUAAGUUCAAAAGCACCAUUGAAACUAAUGCUGCUUUAGAUUUUUGCAAUUUCCCUGGCAAAAUUAGCAAGAAAAUGACCUGUAGGCACCCUACCACCUUUUUAGAGCAUCGCAGGUGCCAUUAUAACUUGGCUAUCGGUUUCUAAUUGACUUUUCUCUAGAGGACACUUCUUCUAGGCGAUGGUUAAGAGUCUACCAUCCGUAGGCGUAAUCCCCAGUAAGUUGAUUUCAAUUAGGUCUCUUUCCCUUAAGACAAUAUAUAUAUAUGGGAUAUUUAAGGAGCUUUUAUAAUUUAAUCAGUUACAUGUGUAUCCCAUCCAUCUGGUUUGAUCAAAUUCAGGUUACCUGAAAUUUAAAAAGCAGAUAAUGUGGGCUGUCAUUUGUGAAUUCUAGAACAUAAAAAACGGAUCAAGCCUCCUAUUACAUGAUAUUGUGUUAAACAUAAAACACUGAUGCUCUUUCUUUCACAACAAGCUGGCCAAGUUUAUGGAGUUCCUCUUUAUGGAUCUCUACUGAUCAAGCCUGGAGUUUACCCAGAGCAAAGACCAUGUAAUGAGGACACCCGCAGAAAAUGGAUUGAGGUCGAGCAGACUAACCUGUCAUUUGUUGUUAUAAUAAUAUAAUGUUUUGUUCAAUAGAACCUCGGUAAAUAUUUCAUGUUUGUUAUCUAAGUUUGCAAAUUUUUAAGCUUGCUUUUGCCUGAUAGUUAGAUGUUUGGCUUCCUUUUGAGUAUUUGAUUGAUAGUGUACUGCUAGAAUAACAGCUAAGGACAUAUGACCAUUCUUACUGUGAGGUUGCUUUUGGCAUUUAAAAUCUUGAACAGCAUUGUUACUUGGGACAGCGAGCAUUAGCCUUUUUCACAUGUUUCAUCUGUGGAAUUCAAAGUUAUUCAGCUUGGAAUAUUCGAUUUAUGGUGCUGAAUGAUGUUUUUUACUUUGUUAUGCUGGUGCUGCAGCAAUGAGCUCAGUUUGUUUACAUUCAUUAGUUUUCUUUCUUUACAUCCAUUAUUGCCUUGCAGGCCCUUGCUCAGCCAAACAAGCGACUAUGUUCAUUGUCUGAGCACGUUCCUCAUGGUUACCAUAGGAAAUCACUUUUUGAAGGUCUAAUUCGAUAUAAUGUUCCGUUGCUAAGAGCAACAUGGUUUAUUAAAGUCACAUACCUAAACCAGCUACAGACCCGACAGACACCUAACAGUAUUUCAGUAGCGGGUUCUGAUAACCAACGCUCUCAGUGGACAAAGGAUGUUGUUGAAUAUUUACAACAUAUGUUGGACGAAUUUUGUUCUAAAGAGGGUGCAUUCGUGCAUCCAUCCUUUAGAGAGCAGUCAUCACCAGGACCUACUGCUGGAACCAAUCAGAAAAAAAUGAAAACUGAAGCAUCACCAGCUGCUGGAGACAUUGAAGAACACUUGGUGCACUUCAAAUGGUGGUAUAUGGUUCGUCUCAUCCAAUGGGAUCUCACAGAAGAAUUGCUUGUUCCCUCAGUACUUAUCGAAUGACUAUCUAACCAACUCCAGGUACUUCUGUCGAGAAUUCAAUCGACGUGAAAGUUUAUGUUUCAGUUCCUAUUCAUCUAAGGAAUACCCACUUUUCUAGGAAUAUGUUUCGGUUUAACUUCAAUCUAUAGAUUCUUUUGUCUAAAAGCAUGCUGCUACAAUGGAUCCUAAACAGGUAAGAAAACACAUGAAGGCAGUCCAUUAGUCGUAGAACAAAAGAAUUUACUGUUUGGUAACUUCUGUUUACUGUGGGUUCUUUUUUUUUGCUUCUAGGACAGCAUCCAUGUGAUUGAUCCUUUUUGAAACUGAAUUUAAUUAGAUUACAGCCUAAAUGCCUAAUAGCAUGUUGCUACAGUGGAUACUAAACAAAUUCUAAGGAAUACUCACUUUUCUAGGAAUAUGUUUCAGUUUACCUUCAAUCUGUAAGAUUAAAGCCUAAAAGCAUGCUGCUACAAUGGAUCCUAAUUAGCUAAGAAAAAA